UUUAAAUACAUUUAUUACCAGUAAUGCUAUCAGUGCAUUUUCUUAAAAUGAAGUACUGAAGAAAUGAGUGAAAUAAAAUAAAAAUUCGUAUACCUAAGGCUCUAUUUCACAACCUGUAAUAAUAUCCUCAGCUGAGUGCUUGUAAUAGCGAUUGCUGAAAGUUACUCAACACCCCUUCAAGUAGUGAAGCAGACGAUUUGGGGGAAGAUGGAUGGAAAGGGUCUUCAGAAAGGAAUACGGCCCCGCUGGCAUCUUCAUUUUGGACCAGUGAGACCAUUUCAAGUUUCUGACCUCCAGAAUGGAGAAGCAACUUAUGAAACGUGUCUGGAACACGCUCAUCUAUGAAAUGGAAAUUCCCUGAAGUAUUACAAGAAGAAUAUCUCAUCAAGACAAAUAUUUGACUUCAGCCAGUUUUGACAGUUUUCAAACAAUUUUGUUUAGGUUCCUGCAAAUUUUCUGCUGGAAUGUUACAUGAUAUUGUCUUCUCUGUCAUUUCUCCCAUCAUUCAACAUGAACACAUAACUCCAGAAACAAGAAAAUGCUUUCAGACCGACACCUAUGAAACUCCAAAGGAGCUUCCAGCACAAGCAGACCAAUGAGGAGGUGGUUUGAAGAGAAGACUCUUCUUGGCAUACCUGUAACUGAAGUCAAGAAAGUAGCCAUUCAUUCAUUCAGCCAUUUAGUCAUCUACCCAUUCACUCAGAACAAAUUUUUGAGGUACUUACUAUUUACCAAGCACUGUCUUGGCCCUGAAUAUACUAAAGUGAUCAAAGUAAUGAUUCUAGGAACUAAUAUACUUAUUGACCUAGUUGAGGAAACUAUGACUCAUGGAGUUCUGAGGGAAUAUAAUGGUAAAGUUGAAAUAAUUGGGUGGGAAAUUGAACAAAUGUAUUAACCUCUACUUUUCACCAAAUCCCAAAAAAAUGUUAACAAAAUGAGUCAACAUCAAAAAAGGACAAUGAAAAGAAGAACUAAGACUACAGCAAUAGAAAUCUGGAAACUAGAAAGAAAGACAAAGUUCCCUCACCUAAAAGAACGAAGAGGUUUCCAGUUUUAGCAAUAACAUGUAAAGAGCUUGGAAAUAACCGCUAUUACAAUUUUUAAAAAGAAUAUUAAUGACUUUUCUUGAACCCAUCAGAAAAUGCAGGUUUCAGGGAAAAUACUAUACUGGCUUUGUUGUUAUUGUUUAGUUUCUCAGUCUGCCUCUUUGCAACCCUGUGGACUAUACCUGCCAGGUUCCUCUGUUCAUGGGAUUUCACAAGCAAGAAUCCUGGAGUGGGUUGUCCUUUCCUUAGAGAGAUGAAUUCGAGGAUUUGCAGUUGGAAUCCGCUAACUAGAUCAGAAGCAGAGGUAGCUAUAAAUUACCUGUUGUUGUUUGUUGUUUAGUCAGUAAGUCAUGUCUGACUUUUUGUGAUUCCAUGGACUACAGCUUCCCUGUCCUUCACUAUCUCCCAGAGUUUGCUCAUAUGUAUGUCCAUUGAGUUGGUGAUGCCAUCCAAUCAUCCCAUCUUCUGUCACUUCCUUCUUCUCCUGCCCUCAAUCUUUCCCAGCAUCAGGGCCAACAUUUAAGUAGUAAUUUUGUGAUUUAGCAUGAAAAUGAGAAAGUCUUUGGUUUUGAGGUCUUAGGGGACCUUUUGUGGGCUUUACCUCUAGAAACUCUACCAGAUUUCAGUUGAAGAUCUGGUGAAGAUCCCUUCAAGGCUCUGGAAUGGGAAGGGGAUGUGUAAUCUUUGUUUAAUAUAUGACAAAAAGCAAGAAAAAAUAGUCUAAAGAGAUAAAGUAAGCUUCAGAACUAGACUCAAAUGUAACACAGAUGUUAAAAUUAUCACAGGAGAUUUUUAAAAACUCUUGACCAAACAUUAUGAGCUCUAAUUUUAAAAGUUAGAUAAUGUGAAAGAACACUUGGGUAAAGUAAGCACAGAGCUACAAACUCUGAGAAAGAAUUAAAAGGAAAUGCUAGAAAUCCCCAACCUUAUAACAGAUAUUAAGAAUGCCUAUGAUAAGUUCACCAAUAAACUAGAUAAAUCUGAGGAAAGAGUCAGUGAGCUUGAAGACAGAUCAAUAUAAAUUUCCCAAAAUGAAAUUCAAAAAGAAGGGAAAAAAACCCAAACCCAGAACAUCCAAAAACUGUGGAAUAAUGUCAAAAGAUAUAACAUACACAUAACUGGCAUACCACAAUAAGAAAGGAAUAUUUGAAGUAAUAAUGGCUGAGAAGCUCCCAAACUUUAUGAUAGACACCAAACCACACAUCCAGGAAAGUCAGAACAAAAAUAAGUACCAAAACACUACUUCCACAUACAUAAUAUUUAGAAACCCUCAUCCUCCAAAUGGAGAAAGCAAUGGCAACCCACCCCAGUACUCUUGCCCAGAAAAUCCCAUGGAUGGAGGAGCCUGGUGGGCUGCAGUCCAUGGGGUCGCUCGGGGUCGGACAAGACUGAGCGACUUCACUUUCACUUUUCACUUUCACACAUUGGAGAACGAAAUGGCAACCCACUCCAAUGUUCUUGCCUGGAGAAUCCCAGGGAUGUGGGAGCCUGGUGGGCUUCCUUCUAUGGGGUCGCACAGAGUUGGACACGACUGAAGCGACUUAGCAGUAGCAGCAUCCUCCAAAAUAAAGAGAGAAAGACAGAAAAAAAAAAUCUUAAAAGAAUCUAGAGAAGGGAAAAUGCAACUUACCUACAAAGGAACAAAGAUACAAUGGACUUUUUGUCAGAAAUUAUGCAAGAAAGAAGGUAGGAUAAAUCUUCAAUGUUAAAAGAAAAAUAAAAAGAACCAGUCAAGAAUUCUGUAUCCAGAAAGAUUACUCUCUAAAGUGAAAGAGAAAUAUAAAAACUUCCUAGGACAAACAAAAACUGAAGGAAUUCAUCAUUAGCAUAGUGUGAGUAGCUCAGUCGUGUCUGACUCUUUGCAACCCCAUGGACUAUACAAUCCAUGGAAUUCUUCAGGCCAGAAUCCUGGAGCGGGUAGCCUUUCCCUUCUCCAGGGUAUCUUCCCAAUCCAGGAAUCAAACCCAGGUCUCCCACAUUGCAGGUGGAUUCUUUACCAGCUAAGUCUCAAGGGAAGCCCAAGAAUACUGGAGUGGGUAGCCUAUCCCUUCUCCAGCGGAUCUUCCUGACCUAGGGAUUCAACCAGGGUCUCCUGCAUUGAAGGCGGAUUCUUUACCAACUGAGCUAUGAGAGAAACCCCAUUAUUAGCACACCUGUAUGCAAAAAAAAGUUAAAAGAUUUCUUAAUCAGAAGGAAGAUGAUAUACACUACAAACUUGAAUCUACUUAAAGGAAAAGAGCAUAUCAGAGAAAAUUUUUUUAAAAAAUUUUUUUAAAUUGUAUUUUUCUUAUUCUUAUUUAAUAUGAAAGAUAACUGUGUUUCAAGUAAUAAUAGUAACAAUGUUCUCUGUGAGUAAGCCUAUGGAUAAAUAAUGAAUGACAGCAAUGUCACAGGGAGAAGAAAGAGGGAUUGGAAAUAUUCUGUUGCUACAAGUGAAGUGGUCUAGUAUCAUUUUAAUAACAAUUAGAUUGAUUAAAAAUGCAUAUUGGAAGGCUUCCUUGAUGGCUCAGUAGUAAAAAAAAAAAAAAAAGUCCACCUGCCAAGGCGGGAAACGUGGUAAUCCUUGAUCCAGGAAGACCAUACGUGCCAUGGAGCAACUAAGUCCAAGCAUCACAACAGUUGAGCCUAUGCUCUAAAGCCCAGGAGCUGCAACUACUGAGCCCACAUGACCUGGAGCCUGGGCUCAGAAACCAGAGGAGCUACCUUAAAGGGAGGCCCCAUGAGUAGCCCCUGACCACCAAAACCAGAGAAAAGCCCAAGCAGCAGCAACCACAAAGAACCAUCACAGCCAUGAGUAAAUAAGUAAAUUAAAAAAAUUAUAUAUAUACAUAUACAUACAUAUAUAUAUAUAAAGACUAUCAGACAGGGCAGUUAAAAUGUAUAUUGGAAAAUCUAAGGCAAAUGCAACAUUUUAAAGAACUAUUUUUUUGUGCUAAGGUGUGAAGUAAAAGGGAGUCAUAUUGGAUGUUCAUUUCGUAGCAGACAAGGCAGAAAAGGGGGAAAAAGAACAAAUUAAAUGAAUAGAACAAAGUUACAAACAUGUUAGAUAUUAAUCCAACUGUAUUAAGAAUAACUCUCAACGUGGAUGGUCAGAGCACCAAUUUAAAUUCAAAGAUUGUCAGAAUAGGUAUAAAAGCAAGACUCAAUUUGUGUUGUCUGAUGGAAGUCAGCUUUAAAAAUAAAAUCUCCAAUUGGUUAAAAAGGAUGGAGCAAUAGACGUUGUGCUAACAAUAAUCAAAAGAAAACUAAAGUAACUGUAUUGAUUCCAAAUAAAGCAUACUUCAGAAGAAGGAAAGUUAUCAUGGAUAAAUGGGCAUUAUAUAAUGAUAAAGAAGUCAAUUUUAAUUUCUCUUUAAUGUGUAUACCUAACAAGAGUGUGUACCAAAAAAAAAAAAAAAAGAGGCAAAAACUGAUAAGAUGAAAGGGAAAAAUAGACAAAUUCAUUACUGUAGCUGAAGACUUCAACACUGUUCUUUCAGCAACUGACUGACCAUCAGGCAGAAAAUCAGAAUAUCUUUUACCUGAAAAACACUAUCAAUUAAUGUGAACCAACUGACAUUUAUGGACGACUUCAGCCAACAACAGCAAGGUACACAUCCUUCACAAGCUCACAUAGAACAUUCAUCAUGACUGACCACACUCUGGGAGGACAUAAAAUAUGUCUUAACAAAUUUAAGAGAAUAGAAAAACACAGAGUAUGCUUUCAGACCUAAAGGGAUUACAGUACAAGUCAAACAGAAAGAUACAUGUCAAGUCCCCAAAUAUUUGAAGUUAGGCAACAUACUUUUUAAUUACUUUAAGGUUUGAGAAGACAAAUGUUUGAGCCAAAGAAGAUAAUUGUUUAAAAUUACUUGAAGAGAAUGAAAAUAUAAAGACAACUUAUGAAAAUUUGUGGAAUGCAGUAAAAAGCAGUGAUGGGAAGAAAUUUACAGCAUUAAGUGCAUGUAUUUCAUCUUAAGAAACUAGACACAAUAUUUUUAAAAUGUUUGUGAAACUUGUAAGCAGCCAUUUUUUUGAAAAAAUGACAUGAUAAUGUCUAAUUUAUAUAUUCUUGUAACUGUUUUACUUUAGAGCUGUUUGUAAAUAUGAGAAAUUAUAAUAAAGCCUGUUAUAAGUUCAAUGGUUGUAGCCCCUCAAAACUCAUAUAUUGAAAUCUAAUUCCCAAGGUGAUGGCAUUAAGAGGUGGGACUUUUGAGAGUGAUUAGAUCAUAAGGGUGAUUCCCUCAUGAUGGGGAGUAGUGCUCUUAUAAAUCAAGUGACAGAGAAGGUCCCUUGCCCCUUCUGCCAUGUAGGUUAUAGCAAAACUACAAUCGUCCAUGAACCAGGAAGCAAGUCCUCACCAAAUAUAUGGUCUCUGGAGCCUUGAUUUUGGACAUCCCAGCCACCAGAAGAUUGUCCCUUGAACAGAGUGCCAGACAUCCUUGAGUGUGAACUCAAGGAUAACCAUGAACAAAGCUAGUGGAAGUGAUGGAAUUCAAGCUGAGCUCUUUCAAAUCCUAUAAGAUGAUGCUGUGAAAGUACUGCACUCAGUAUGCCAGCAAAUUUGGAAAACUCAGCAGUGGCCACAGGACUGGAAAUGAUCAGUUUUCAUUCCAAUCCCAAAGAAAGGCAAUGCCACAGAAUGCUCAGACUAUCACACAAUUGCACUCAUCUCACACGCUAGCAAAGUAAUGCUCAAUCAAAAUUCUCCAAGCCAGGCUUCAACAGUACAUGAACUGUGAACUUUCAGAUAUUCAAGCUGGAUUUAGAAAAGGCAGAGGAACCAGAGAUCAAACUGCCAACAUCCGCUGAAUCAUCAAAAAAGAAAGAGAGUUCCAGGAAAACAUCUACUUCUGCUUUAUUGACUAUGCCAAAGCCUUUGACUGUGUUGAUCACAACAAACUGUGGAAAAUUCUUAAAGCUGUGGGAAUACCAGACCACCUGACCUGCCUCUGGAGAAAUCUGUAUGCAGGUCAAGAAGCAACAGUUAGAAAUGGACAUGGAACAAUGGUCUGGUUCCAAAUUGGGAAAUGAGUUUGUUAAGACUGUAUAUGGUCACCCUGUUUAUUUCACUUAUAUGCAGAGUACAUCAUGCAGAAUGCCAGGCUGGAGGAGGAAGCACAAGCUGGAAUCAAGAUCGCCAGGAGAAAUUUCAAUAACCUCAGAUAUGCAGAUGACACCAUAUUUAAGGCAGAAAGAGAAGAGGAACUAAAGAGCCUCUUAAUGAAAGUGAAAGAGGAGAGUGAAAAAGUUGGCUUAAAACUCAACAUUCAAAAAACAAAGAUCAUGGCAUCCAGUCCCAUCACUCAUGGCAAAUAGGUGGGGAAACAAUGGAAACAGUGUAGACUUUAUUUUCUUGGGCUCCCAAAUCACUGCAGAUGGUGACUGCAGCCAUGAAAUUCCCCAGUGGCUCAGAUGGUAAAGCAUCUGCCUACGAUGCAGGAGACCCAGGUUCGAUCCCUGGGUCAGGAAGAUCCUCUGGAGAAGGAAAUGGCAACCCACUUUAGUAUUCUUGCCUGGAAAAUCCCAUGGAUGGAGGAGCCUGGUAGUCUACAGUCCAUGGGGUCGCAAAGAACUGGACAUGACUGAGCCACUUCACUUGCUUCUUGAAAGAAAACUAUGACCAACCUAGAGAGCAUAUUAGAAAGCAGAGACAUUACUUUGCUGACCAAGAUCCGUUUAGUCAAAGCUAUGAUUUCUCCAGUAGCCAUGUAUGGAUGUGAGAGUUGGACCAUAAACAAAGCUGAGCACUGAAGAAUUGAUGCUUUUGAACUGUGGUGCCGAGGAAGACUCUUGAGAGUCCUUGGACUGCAAGGAGACCCAACCAGUCCAUCCUAAAAGAAAUCAGUCCUGAAUAUUCAUUGGAAGGACUGAUGCUGAAGCUGAAGUUCCAAUACUUUGGCCACCUGAUGCAAAGAACUUACUCAUUUGAAAAGACCUUGAUGCUGGGAAAGAUUGAAAGCAGGAGGCAAAGAGGACGACAGAGGAUAAGAUGGUUGGAUGGCAUCACCAACUCCAUGGACAUGAGUUUGAGCAUGCUCCAGGACUUAGUGAUGAACAGGGAAGCUUGACCUGCUGCAGUCCAUGGGGUUGCAAAUAGUUGGACACGGCUAAGUGACUGAACUGUGCUAAGCUGUCCUGUGAACAAUAGAGGUUUGAACUUCAAGGGUCUACUUAUGCAUUUUUUUCAAUACAUAUUACUUAACCACACUAUCUGUGAUUCAUUGAAUCUGCAGAUAUAAAGGAAAUUUGGGUACAGAGAACCCAAGUAUAUGGAGGGCCCAGUAACCCUAAUGUUUGCUCAAAGUUCAAUUGUAUCAUUAAUCUUUUGUAAUUUGCUUAAUUAUGGACUUGUGUCAAAUGUCCAGUUUUUUAAUUUCAAUAUUUUAACAAUUUUUGAACAGCUAUAUACAUGCCAGAUGUCAGAAAUUAAAAGUGGAAAAGUCCUGUCCCUGACCUUCAAUC
ensembl:lncRNA